UAUUUCAUAGCAGGUGGGUUAUCCUUUGAUCUACAUUCUCCCACGGUUUGACGUGGUCUUUACGGGACAUCCUGUAUAUACCUAAGAUGUUUUUCGACAUCUUAUUAUAUAUAUAAUAAUCAAUUCAAUUGAACUGAAGUUUCAGGAAGAAUGCAGUGAAGAUAUACCUGAUGGUUAUUUGUUCACUUAAUUGAAUAUAUUGUACAGAAUAUGAAUGUUUGGAGAUCCAAUCGUGAGAUUGCACAUAACAUUGCUUUUUUAUCAAGUGACUUUCAAUCCGAUGAUGGAUGGAAUCAAUUUUUGAAAGACAAAAUGGCCCAGAAUUUUUAAAUGGCAGCAGAUCAUAACAUGAAUAUUCGGACGAGGAAACUAACUAGCAAUAUCAAAUAGACAUUUUAAUAUUAAAGCAAUUUAUUCAUAUUAUAAAUUGCAACUCUUCAAGGAAAAUAAAGGAAACAGCCAGAUGAUCAA